CCUACCAAGGCUACGAUCUGUAGCGGGUCUGAGAGGAUGAUCCGCCACACUGGAACUGAGACACGGUCCAGACUCCUACGGGAGGGCAGCAGUGGGGAAUUUUGGACAAUGGGGGCAACCCUGAUCCAGCCAUGCCGCGUGAGUGAAGAAGGCCUUCGGGUUGUAAAGCUCUUUCGGCCGGGAAGAAAUCGCAUAGGCUAAUACCCUGUGUGGAUGACGGUACCGGAAUAAGAAGCACCGGCUAACUACGUGCCAGCAGCCGCGGUAAUACGUAGGGUGCGAGCGUUAAUCGGAAUUACUGGGCGUAAAGCGUGCGCAGGCGGUUUAGUAAGACAGGCGUGAAAUCCCCGGGCUCAACCUGGGAACUGCGCUUGUGACUGCUAAGCUAGAGUACGGCAGAGGGGGGUGGAAUUCCACGUGUAGCAGUGAAAUGCGUAGAGAUGUGGAGGAACACCGAUGGCGAAGGCAGCCCCCUGGGCCGAUACUGACGCUCAUGCACGAAAGCGUGGGUAGCAAACAGGAUUAGAUACCCUGGUAGUCCACGCCCUAAACGAUGUCAACUAGGUGUUGGGAGGGUAAAACCUUUUAGUACCGGAGCUAACGCGUGAAGU
rnacentral:rRNA from 1 species